rnacentral:rRNA from 1 species
UACGGAGGGUGCAAGCGUUAUCCGGAUUCACUGGGUUUAAAGGGUGCGUAGGUGGGCAGGUAAGUCCGUGGUGAAAUCUCCGGGCUUAACCCGGAAACUGCCGUUGAUACUAUUUGUCUUGAAUAUUGUGGAGGUAAGCGGAAUAUGUCAUGUAGCGGUGAAAUGCUUAGAUAUGACAUAGAACACCAAUUGCGAAGGCAGCUUACUACACAACGAUUGACGCUGAGGCACGAAAGCGUGGGGAUCAAACAGG